AUUUAUAUAGUUUAAAAAACAUUACAUUUUCAAUGUAAAAAUAAGUGCUCACUUUUUAAAUA
rnacentral:tRNA from 1 species